ACGUAGGGUGCAAGCGUUAAUCGGAUUUACUGGGCGUAAAGGGCGCGUAGGCGGCAAUUCAAGUCAGCUGUGAAAUCUCCGAGCUUAACUCGGAACGGUCAGCUGAUACUGCUUUGCUAGAGUGCAGAAAGGGCAAUCGGAAUUCUUGGUGUAGCGGUGAAAUGCGUAGAUAUCAAGAGGAACACCUGAGGCGAAGGCGGGUUGCUAGGCUGACACUGACGCUGAGGCGCGAAAGCCAGGGGAGCGAACGGGA
rnacentral:rRNA from 1 species